rnacentral:rRNA from 1 species
GGGCUCACACAAGCGGUGGAGGAUGUGGCUUAAUUCGAGGCUACGCGAAGAACCUUACCUAGGCUUAACAUGUUUGGGAAUCUCUAUGAAAGUAGAGAGUGCCUUUCGGGGAACCCUUACGUAGGUGCUGCAUGGCUGUCGUCAGCUCGUGUCGUGAGAUGUCGGGUUAAGUCCCUUAACGAGCGAAACCCUUAUCCCUAGUUGCCAGCGAGUCAUGUCGGGGACUCUAGGGAGACUGCCGGUGUUAAACCGGAGGAAGGUGGGGAUGACGUCAAGUCCUCAUGGCCUUUAUGCCUAGGGCUGCACACGUCCUACAAUGCAACAUACAAAGAGAUGCGAAAUCGCGAGAUCAAGCAAAUCCCAAAAAGUGUUGCUCAGUUCGGAUUGCAGGCUGAAAUUCGCCUGCAUG